rnacentral:rRNA from 1 species
GGUCAAGUGAAGAAGCGCAUACGGUGGAUGCCUUGGCAAAUCGAAUUCCCGCGGCC